rnacentral:lncRNA from 1 species
GCAUGGUUGGAAUGUUUAUGCAAAGAGAAAUUCACGGUGCGCGAUCCUCCUGUCAGACUGAAAAAUGCCAACGAGUGUAAAAAAGUCCUGAUUGAUGGCUUGUACAUAGCACUGUCAAACACUUGCGCGUUUGACAGUGUGGUAACUAUUGUAGCAGCUGCUCUGCAAAACCAACCAGCUUAUAGAAAUGUAGCAGCAAAUCUCCGAUCAAAUCCCCUAAUGAACUUCUCAUUUUUGAUGAACCAAGGCAGUUCAGAUGAGAUGUUAUACGAACGGAGAGCUAGAAUUAUUUUAGAUGCUAGUUUAGGAGUUGACUCGCCAAAGGCGCCACAAGGUCAAAGGGCGAUUGAGUGUUACACAUUUGUGAGCAGAGUAUGCAGUUUGUACAUCUCGGCUUCAUCAGCAACCCGAAUAAGUGUCUGCAUAAGCACUACUUGCGGCCAAGUUGAAGAGGUGCCUGUUCCCUACAUCGAACCAAGUUUAGAUGGAAUCAUAGGAUGUGACAGAUGGUGCGCUCACAUUCCUGAGAUGAUAAGCAGCUGGGAAAUUUUGGGAGAGGAGAGGCAAUGCAAGAAAUGCUGUGCAGAUGGUUCUCUUGGCUACGUGGAACACGCUGUCACACUUGAAAUAGAGAUGACUGUAAACCGUGCCUUAUUUCUUCCUGAAACGAUAAGUAUCCAUUGUGUGGGUUCUUGUGACAUUCGUGUCCUUCCAGCUUUCUUGCCUCAGUAAUCAGGUAAAAAUACUGAAGGAAUCAUCUGGUGAAAAUCCCGAUUACUUUGUUUAUCAUUAUCGGAAAUGGCAGCGAGAUUACGGAGAUACAUCAUUACCAGAGGCAGGCUUACAUCUGUAAAUAUGUACUUACUCUACUUAUCAUUUUUAAUGAAACAAAUUCAUUCGUAAGUGACAAUUUUUUAGGUUUCAUCCUAUUUCACCACUGGAAGUUUUUUUUCCCUUCCUACUUCUUAACGAAUCUACUGUUGCUCAUAAUUUCACAUUUUUUUGCGGCACGCGUGCCCUAACCUCGACCAGUACCUUGACCUCGACCUGUGCCUCGUUGUCGUGUUGGAAGUGGAGCUUGCACUGGCUGGACUUGAAUUUGUACCACUGGCGGAGCUAGGGCUAUGACCGGGAGAGCAGGUGCUUGUACGGGGACAGAGUCUACGGGAUCUUCAUCAGAGUCUGAUGACGAUUCGCUUAGAAACUGACUCGGAGGGCCAACUGGUUCAUCUUCAUCUGAUUCAGAACUUAGUGGUAGAUCAUCAUCCAGUGCAUUCAAGAUAGCAUUAUUAUUCAGAGCCAUUUCCUAAAACAAAAUAUAGGGACUUUUCAGAUUGAAGCAAAACAGGUUUUAAGAUGGACGGAGUGUUUUCAAUACAGUAGGCAUAUCGGUGAAUGAAAGUUUUGAUGCUAGGUACUCCAGUCUUCAAAUGAGUUCACUAGGAUUCGAGCACAAAUUGAAAUAAAAUGAAACACAUCUGUGAAUACUAUCACUGUACCGCUAUCACUGAAUCACUGACAUAAUAAUUUCAUACCGCAUGGUAUUCUUGGCAAAUUGAUGGAGAAAUAGAUAGGUCUUAGGAAGCCGAUAAAGAGAACUUAAAAAAUAAGAAAUAAAGUUUGAAGCCUACCUUAUGUGUGUUGUUUACGCCAGAGUUAUACAAACCAGAAAAGUGGAGAAAUCUUCAAAAAAAAAAAAAAACUCAACUAGAUUGAAGAACACGUUCAUCUAAUCACAGAUUGACACUUUCUCUGUUUUUCACGAAAUAAAAGUAAUAAUACUAACUAUUUCUUGUAAAAAUAAGCUUAAAAAAAAUGCUAGAUAUUGUUAUCACAAAACAUCAACCUUUCAAAACAUGAACAUUACCUCAAAACCAAAACAAACAGGGUUACCAACUGUCUUUGUGAAUAAAACGUGAAAUACACCAGGGAAAACACGUCGGGGUCAAUCUGACCCCGCUCAGGCUUUUUAGGGGUACUCGUAAAUUUUUUGAUCUCUCAUGCACAUUUUUUUCCCCCUUCAAAAUCGUGUUCCUAGAUGUUUUUGUAGAGCUAUUUGUGAAGGACAAAAAAUUUCGUGCAUACCACGAGAAAUGGCAAAGAGUUGAAACUCCCGUGGGGUCAAUCUGACCCCACUCAGGCAGACUAGAGUUAAAAAUGACCUGAGCAACUCUCUUCGACCCGCUUUUUCUGUUAAGCGGCACUAAGUAUGCCAAUGAAAGAGCCUUCAGGACUGUUCGUGGUUCAAUGUUCCAAAUGAGAUACUAAUUGUUGAUUAACUUACCUAUCUGGUACUCCUGAAGAACGUGACGGAUUUGGCGUCUUAAGGCGAUGGUUUCGUUGUUUCCUCUAGCCCAUAGCUGCACAUUAUCAACUCACUUGCUAAACAAUCACAUCAUGAAGUUCCGCACAUGUGUUUCAUACACGAACAUUUACUGUCUAGAGGCAGUUAAGAUAGUGAAAUAAUGACACUUACACUUAUAUUUCGUAAUGACUUAUUUAUUCAUUACUCCACAAAUACACGGUAAGAAUACAGAGUUGAGUUACAAACGUUCCAGAAGCUUCAUGUUUAUCUAUUCAUUAAUCAGGAGAUCAUCACUGUGAUAUGCCCUUAUCGCAACACGCCUCCUUAAUUUGUGAGGAUACUUUAUCGUUAAAAAAUUUUUAACCUAAAGAUAUACAAAAGAAUAAUGAUCUGACCUAGAAAAAGUAUUUACAAUGUCGUUCCCAAUUACUCCCAUUUUGCAAGAUAAGUAACAAAGUGCACAAAAACUAGAAAUGUGUAUGAGAUUUAAACGGUCUUAUCUAUUAGGUAUUGUACACAUAAAGUGAAAGAAAUCUAAUCAAGUUCCGCAUGAUUUUAUCACUGAUAAGUUAGAUUAACAUUCAAUUUUCUGGAAAAAAUUGAAUU